GUGCUCCAUCUCUCUCUUUUUCAUAAUUUCUGUAAUUUAUGAUUUAUAUCUCGAGAUUACACCCUUGCCGCCUAUGCUGCUCUUGGCACUCUCUCUCUGUACGCCGGGCGAUUCGAGAAAAUUCACGAGUUCACGAGUUCGACGUGCUCUGCCCGUGUGUAGUAUCUCAGGCACGUAAUAAGGUAAAAGCGAUGAUCUAGCCGUGAGAACGAACCACCAACGGCAGUGUAAGUGCGGCGUUUCUCUCACUCUUUCGAGCCGAAAUCGCCGGGUAAUUUCGUCGUCACGGACGCGCGAGUCCCGCGUGCACGCGCAUCCGUGAAACUUCACCGUGCAAUUCAGCGGGGUUGAAGGUGCCGUGGAAACCGCCACGUGCUCGCGCGCAAAGUGCGCGGCACAUACCAUCACUGCCCCUCGGCAUCGAACGCGCGCGCGGUUGUAUAUCGCGUUCAACGUUGCCCCCGCCACCGUCGCCGACGUCUUAUCGCAUUUCCGCUCACGUCUUCCUCUUCCUUUCCCCCCUUCCUCCUCCUUUCCACCGUCCGUAUGCAACGUACGCGUACGUUUCCACCUUUCUUGCGUCGUCGCAGGGCCGAUCCUACUCGCAGGGCCGGUACUUACGACACUUAAGGGCCCCUCCUCGAUGUCCCGUGAGUGUAUCUUAUCUCCAAUAACGGGGCUUUGGGGCUGCCAAUUUAGAUUCGGGAACCGCGUGUAAUCCCGAUAUCGUCCCGCAUCAGUUAUUUCCUCGCCCUCUUUUCUGCCCUCACCCUCCCCCACUCCCGCAAACGCGAAAAAUAACGGGUCAGUGCCUCGACCGACUGUGCCUCCUCGCAAUAUCGCAAUUUUAUUUCCGCGGGUCAAAGAGGCAUCCAUCGACGCUGUUGAGAGAAAGAGAGAGAGAGAGUCAUCAAUAUAUUCGUGAUGCGUGGCGCGUGUUUUUCUUUCCGCGUGUCACGCGGCCACGCACCGGCUCGCGACAAAAAUAAAUUCGAAGGAAUCGCUGGGCCGAGCAAGCGGGCAAGGGAGGCGCGAUGGAAAAAAGGGAAACGGGACGAGGAAAAAAAAAAUACGCUUCGGACGCGCGAGGUGAGCUUCUCGCGUGCGAAUAGGGCGACGUCAAAUAUUUGCGCGUAACGGUUGCGUGUCGCGAUGCGAAAACGCGGUCGCGCGCGAAUUUCCACGGUGUGUACUCGAUAUAAACGGAAAACAAAAAAAAAAUAUGGAGAGAGAUAAAAAGAAAAAUCGCAAGGCCUGGUAAACCUAUCCAUCGACCGGCACAACCCGGCGGAAGUAUUAGGAUUUGAAAACUAUAUGCCCGCCGCGACGAAUCAUGAAUAUGAAAGUCACGUGUAAAAACAAAAAGGAAAAAAAAAAAGAGUAAAUGUCGCGACGGUCGAGGUAACAAUCGCGUACGAACAACCGCGUUCGUGAUGUGCCGUGUCCCCCGUCGCCGAGUCGCAAACGAUUCGAGGAAAAAAAAAGGAAGCAAACGAAAUGGGAAAGAAACAUUUGACGUAACACACACGCGCGCGUAUUGCUUACAGCGGGCCAAUGAAAAAUGCAAGGUGCGCACGCAAAGAUAAGAACGUUCGGUUUCGGACGAUACGCCGAGCGAUAAGGCUGAAUUCACGGUCGUAAAAUUCGCGGGACAACAACGCGCAUAGCCACCGUGUAACCCUCCCGCCGAAUCGCGCCGGAAAUUUAUGCGUUCGACGAAUCGAAUCGAAUGAUUGCAUCUCGAGAGCUACGAUCAACUUUUCCUCUAUGCGGGCGAAGUGCACCUUUUCGCGCGAUCGCGAGUAUUCGAGAAAACUCUCGAAAGUACGCGGAUCGCGUACAGUAAAGGCGCACUGUGUUUCAUUCAAUAUUCGUAUGAAGUCCCCGUAGUAGAUAAACGCGGUAAUUGCGUCGAUAUUAGCGUUUAUGAGAAAAACGUAAUAUCGCACGUGUAUAACACAGUGCGUUAUAAAUUGACGUUUAUUAACUUGGCCGUAAAAAAUUAAUUUUACAUGCGCUGCGCAACGCCACAAAAAAAAGUCAAGCUAUACUGUAAACAUCGUUCAAGAAGAAUCAAUACAAUUCCUUACAUAAUACAGCAGUAAAUUCGAUCAAUUAAAUAAAAUUAAGGAGAAUUUGACGCGCGUAACCUCAGGAUUCGGUCGAGUUGUCAAUUCAAUAUAACAGUAAAGUAAUAAAUAUUUGUUCCCAAUGCGGCAAAUGCGAUUCGGGUUUAACUUUCCGGCUGCAUUGAAUUAUUCAUUCGGGAAUAGGAACGGGGAGUCCUUCGCGACGGACCGGAGGUGCAUCGUCGCGCCGCGCGUCGCCGCGCGGCGUCGACGUCGUGGAAAGUACCGGAAAGUGCAAGCUGGAAAUGCACCGUUUCGGAACGUCCGAUUGUCGCAAGGUGCGCAGAUCCGAGCGCGUGCACGAGCGCGUCUCGUCUUGCGGUCUUACGUAACGCGAUACGCAACGCGCGAGAGGAACGGGGCGUUUCUGCCGCGAACGGAAAUCGUAUCCGCGCGUUACACGCGCGCGUUGCGUAAGAACCGUAAGGAACCGGACGACGACAAUGUAAUCGUAUCGGCGCGGAAGCAUCGGCGAGUGUUGUUACACGCGUAUACAAACUUGAAGCGUUUUCGCGAUCUUUGAUUUUGGUCUUUUCAUUGUCGCGUACACCGAGAUAAAAAAAUAGUUGCGGUAACUUUAAUAUUGUUAUAAUUUAUAAUUAUUUCUGGACCCAACCAUAUUUUAAUGAUUAUUCAACAAUAUGAAGUGUAGUUGGUUCAAACUACAUUAAAGUUCUCAUAAUCGUAAUAAUGGUCUAUGUAACUUAUGAUAUGGUUGCUAUAAACAAAAUGCAUAUUUUAAUAUAAUAAGUUGUACCGUAAAACAAACAUUAUAAGCAUUUGCUACAAGUACAUAAUUAUUAUUAGCAAUAUUAUAAUAAUAACACAUUUUUCUAUCGGUGUAGGACAAAGUGGAUCCACAACUCAUCUCAAAUAUAUAUUUGUUUCUUCUGAAGAAUUUUAGACAUUAUUUUUAAAAAGAGAAGGAAAGAUUUUAUUCUAUAUUCAAAGAUUGUGUAUAACGAGAGAGCAAUCGAGACACUUUUUAUGCGCACGAACGUUCGUAUGCGAGCAAACUUGUUCUCUCCAAGCGUGAAGCUUAAGCAGCGCACACACGUGGAUAUCCCGUAAUUCAAUUUUUAUUUACUACAAAUAUGCCGUAGAAAUUGUUGGAAAGAUUUCGACAAUAUUAUAAGAGAUAAUUUUUAAUUACUUAAUAUUUCAGGUGUCAUUACAAAAUUAAUAUCUACUUCUCGCGAAUAUCGUCGGUCACUCGAUGCCCGGAAGCGUUCACGGCGGAAAUCCGCGCGGCGAUCUGACUCGCGGCAGGACGGAUCGCAAUCGCGCGAUAUUUAUACGAUCUGUUAUUAAGACACACGCGCGCUCGCGUAAUUCGGACGUAAUGCGAACGAAGUCACGCUUCAGCGAGUACGCGCGCUGGCCAUUCAUGAAGACCAGGCCCGAGGCGCAUUCUUCUACAGCAAGCGGAGCUCAGCUCCGCUCGGCUCGGUUGCACGCGUAUGGGAGUGCGCGCCGGCCCGGCCGGCCGGCCGGUCGGUCGGUCGGUUCACUCGAUUUCAUUCAUUUGCCGGAUAAUCGUCGUGUUCCUGUUGCAGCCCAGGGACGUGCCAACAAGCCAGUUGCUUGCGCUCAAGGUCCCGGGUUCCGGGUUGCGCUUGUCGGAUCGUGGAGCACCGCCGCUCGUUAUUGUCUUCCUGCUGCUGCUGCUGCUGCAUCGUCGCUUCUCUAAGCGAUGUUUAUCCGUGCAAAGUUGCUGAAUCGCCCGGCGUUACGAAAUGACAUGGAAUUCUCUCGUCAGCCUCUCGUGACGAUGCGAGCAAGUCAUCGAGUUGCUCCGCUGAGAUUUUACGAGGCUAUUAAGCCGAGACGUUUCUAGAGUUCUCCGCGUUCGUCGCGCGUCCCAGAUGAGCUUAAACUAUUCUCUACGUAUAUUCUCCACGCAGUGAUUAUAUUAUGUCUUAAAUCUUGCUUGAAAAUCCCCGAGUGGGCUACACCGCGGGAAUUCAAAUCAUAAUAUUUAUACGAGCAAGCAGGCUGCAUUAUGUCGCAUCGUGCGGGAUAUGAAAAUGUUUCUCGUGUUCUUCGCGAGCUGAGAAUAAAAAAUAAUUUUCAUUAUAAAAGUUAAUUAAUACGUUAAUCAACCUAAAAUCCAACCGUCAAAUAUAUUCCAUAUUUUUAUCCAAUUCUUUUACAAUUUUCUUAUUUUUUUUUUUUUGCCACCAACUGAUCUGACUGAUCGUUUUGUGUUACGUAGUAAAAUUCGUCCUUCUUCCGUCGCAAAGGAGACCGACGGCAGAAUUCCAUUUUUGUCGCGAUGCAUGGCCACACAUGGCCACGAAAUUAACCGACUCUGCGCGCGCGGAGCGAUGCGUGCACGGCGCACGUGUGCACGUACACGCGGCGAGAAGGGGAAGGAGGGAGGGGAGGAAGGGGUUAGAGGGGAGAGGGGAGAGGGGGAGGGGGGAUCGUGCCAGCAUUACCAGUAUAUUACCGCGUAUGCCGGCUCGGCCACGGUCAUCUCGAGACCUUCUUGCGCAGCCACUCACACGCACCGUACGCGUCCGCGAGGCGGAUUACGCAACGGCGCGCGGCGCAGCGGUGCAAUUGCGAGCGUCGCGCGUAGACUGCAACGCAACGGCGGCGCGGUGACCGGCGAGUUCCAAUAGAGAAUCUACACCCGCCACACUCGCCUUCCCCGCGCGGCAAACCUUAAUAGAUCUCUUUCUCUCUCUCUCUCUCUCUCUCUCUCGCCAUUCAUAAACGCGGGAAUAAUCUAUCGGAUUGAAUGAAAUUUCGCGAUUGUAGAAACGUCAUAUCCGCGUGACGUAUUUUCAUAACUUGUUAUUCAUAUCUGACGGAAGGUAGGAGCGUUCUAAACCCUCGGGUAACCGCGACGCGGUCAUUUUUCAAAGGCGAUAAGGGCGGAACAAUUGAAGCGUACGUAUCAUUAUUCGGCGAAGGUGCAACGUAUUACAGAUAUACGUUGGGAACGGUCGCCUCAAGCGGUUCCUAUUUCGGAGAGAAAUGUCGGAUUGAUAAAAGUAACUUGUCCGGGAGAGGAAACGAUUAAUUUAUCGUCGACGAUUUGGCCGAUUGCACGCGACGAAUACAAGAAACGCGCGGGAGAUAUCGGGAGUUUUUAUCGCGCUGUGUGAAUUCAUUUGCAAAAAUUGGAUUUUCUUCCCCCUUUCCCCCCCCCCUCCUCGAGCAAUUCCGAAAGUCAGCCGGGAACCCCGACGACGAUAAAAAAUAAAAGUGUUCUAAAUGCGCCGAGCGCCAAAGAGACGACGCGCGACGGUUCCGUCGAGAGGUGAUGUCGAGCGUUAUAGUGGAAUAUAACGGCGUGCGAUCAUGCAGCAAACCUGAAAUGCGAUUAUCGAUUAUUGGCGCGCACUUAUCAGAGAGCAACCGAGCUCUUGACUCUCAUCGACGCGGUUCCCAUCCAGGUCUCUCUCUCUCUCUCUCGCGCGCGCGCGCGCGAAAACAUACAUGGCGAAUGCCGCUGCUUGUCGCUUAUGUAAUUCAGAGCGUAGUAUCGCUCUCUCGUGAUUUAACGAUGUUGAUACCAACGCGCCGUCCAGUAUUAAUCAAACGUUCUUUUAACUCGGCGAUCGAUUAAACGGCGACGCUGCAUAAUCCGUUGGAUUUAACAGCUUCUCGUUAAACAUCUGUAUCGAUUUGGAUUCCUAAAUACAGUUUAGUUUUAUUUAAAUUGUGUUCUCACUUAAUUAAGGACAUCGUUGUUUUUACGCCGUGUAAAAACGACGAAGUUAUUUGAGGCAAAAAGGGGAAUUGAUAUAUGUGUAAAAAAAAUUUACAUUAAAAAAAUUAAAUAACACUUAGAGAAUUAGUGACUUUGUGUGCUGGUGACACGAAGAUAAUAAAAGACAUUAUUUGGACGUUGAAUUAUCUUCGUUAUAUCGCACUAACGAGGUACGAGCGAUGAAGCAGGAGCGAUGUGUCGCACGCGACAGCUAAAAAGGAAAGUUACCAUUGGCAUCUAUGGAUGUGUCACUUGACUCGCGCUAAUAAUCGAUCGGUUGCCGAUCGACCUUCGAACGUUGAAAUAUUGCGCACAACGUACCUGCGGCAGUCCAUUGCGUCCAAGGUCCCAACGAUUAGUGGGUCACAGUGUAUACGAUACAUCGUUUAGUUGAAGGCAAUUGUUUGCGGCACAAUUAAACGUGACGGAUCCAAUUAGCGCGAAAUUAAUAAAUUUCAAGUAUUUUGAUGACAACACGUAGAAUCCGAAAUAAUAAGCGGAGAGCACACGCGCAAAAAUAAUAUCAACGGUGCAACUCGUUGACAUCUAUGCCAAAUACAAUAUUUGCUUUUGAUUUGCAAAGAUACAAAUGCUUUGGCUCAUUCGUAUAUCAAUAAUUACAAGAAAUAAUGAAUUACAAGGAAGAUGAGAGAAAUACACGUUAAUUGAAAUUGUAAUUUGUAUUGACUUAGCGCACAUAGAGGCAAAUUGGGCAAAUAUUUGUCGAGUAAAGUUAAAAACAAAACCUCAGCAAAAUUGAUUGAAAUCGCAUUUCAACAUAUGUAUAAUUCUUUUAGUCUACAGAGAAAUCUUCCCUUUUACAUACAGAAAAUAGAAAAAAAA